rnacentral:rRNA from 1 species
CAGUAGCCGCGGGAAUACGUAGGGUGCAAGCAUUACUCGGAAUUACUGGGCGUAAAGCGUGCGUAGGUGGUGGUUUAAGUCCGUUGUGAAAGCCCUGGGCUCAACCUGGGAAUUGCAGUGGAUACUGGGUCACUAGAGUGUGGUAGAGGAUAGUGGAAUUUCCGGUGUAGCAGUGAAAUGCGUAGAGAUCGGAAGGAACAUCUGUGGCGAAGGCGACUAUCUGGGCCAACACUGACACUGAGGCACGAAAGCGUGGGGAGCAAACAGGAUUAGAUACCCCGGUAGUCCCUGUCUCUUAUAC